rnacentral:tRNA from 1 species
UUGAAUAUAGCUCUGAAACGUGCACACAUCGCCCGUCGCUCUCGUUGAAAAAUGAGAUAAGUCGUAACAUAGUAAUGGUAACGGAAGUUGCCGUUAGAUGUAAGACAUAGCAUAGUUAUAAUGCAUUUCAUUUACACUGAAAACAGGCUUAAAAUAAGAGCUGUCUUAA